rnacentral:rRNA from 1 species
GACGAACGCUGGCGGCGUGCCUAACACAUGCAAGUCGAGCGAAUGAAGUUUCUUCGGGAACGGAUUUAGCGGCGGACGGGUGAGUAACACGUGGGCAACCUGCCUCAUAGAGGGGAAUAGCCUUCCGAAAGGGAGAUUAAUACCGCAUAAGAUUGUAGUACCGCAUGGUACAGCAAUUAAAGGAGCAAUCCGCUAUGAGGUGGGCCCGCGGCGCAUUAGCUAGUUGGUGAGGUAACGGCUCACCAAGGCGACGAUGCGUAGCCGACCUGAGAGGGUGAUCGGCCACAUUGGGACUGAGACACGGCCCAGACUCCUACGGGAGGCAGCAGUGGGGAAUAUUGCACAAUGGGGGAAACCCUGAUGCAGCAACGCCGCGUGAGUGAUGACGGCCUUCGGGUUGUAAAGCUCUGUCUUCAGGGACGAUAAUGACGGUACCUGAGGAGGAAGCCACGGCUAACUUCGUGCCAGCCGCCGCAGUAACAC